rnacentral:lncRNA from 1 species
GAGCCUGCGGCGAUGGAGUCCUUGGAGAGAGCAAGCACGGCACUGGUGGAAAUGGAUGUGCCUCGCGAGAAUGCAUUGGUACAGCUGGAUGCCAGGUGGCGAGCGCUGACUAAGGAUCCUGCGGCAGCUGCCCUCUCGCUGGAAGCUGCCCAGCUGGCAGAACGACAGGUACACAGUAAACCAUCCUCACAAUGCCUUCACAUCCUCGCUGUGCUUCUGCUUUUUGCGUUGUUAAGCCUGAGGUCCAAAGAGUGUUUAUGAGACAUUGCUCUGGCAGCCAUGCAGCUGGUGCCUUUUGGCCAGAUGCGUGGGCUUGACAUCAACUUGCAAUGGUUGAAGACAGACCAGGUCAUGCAGAGGUCUCAGCCUUGUGUGAAUGCCUGAUCAGGUGUCGCAGCUUGGGGCGGGAGUGAGAGACUCCAAGACGACAUCUGCUCUUGAAUUGAUCGGUC